GAGGUCUGACUCAGCACCAAGGAAUGGUUGAGGCCACACCACAGGGCAAUGGGACGCUGUAGAUAACGAACCUGAGGACAGACAGACAACACGGCCAGGCGCUUUAAGCUCCUGAAGAAUCUGCUAGACAUUUGCAAACCACUGCUUUGUGGGUCACACCUGUGAGGAGCAGUAGAGCCCGCUGUGUCUCCUGGCCAACCAGCACGAUCUGCUUGAAGCUCAUGGAGUGGUGGAAUGUCAUCUUGAAGACCCGCUGCCCACUGGACUGCAGGGCCGGGCACCAGCGCGGUGGUCACGAAUGCGUGGAGUGAGCCUUCGACAGAUGCGUCUCCAUACGCCCUCAGCAUCACACACUUCAUGGAAGUAGUGGCAGGUCACCAUGCCACCCAGAUUGAGAAAAAGACGGAAAUUCCAGGACCAUGUGAGCCAUAGCUAUAUCCACAUUGGUAAGUACUGGAAGUGCCCAGGAGGGGAAAGAGGACGCUGGUGGCACGCCUCCUCACAGCUUCAACUUGGACAGAGUCAUCCAGGUGACUCUGGGAAAGCUGGUGUGAGCCGGUGCCCCUUAAAGAGGAGCCUGAGCUUCAAACUGUCAACCUCAAUAAACUGUGGACACUCAUCACAGCUGGUAAUGCCGCCAAAAAACAAGACUGGAGCUGCUCCUGUCACUGAUGCAGUGGGAUACUACAGAGUUCUGCGGAUGAGAAAACUGGCUAAGCAACAGAAGAGCUGAUGACAUUAAGGGUGGAGGAGGUGUCUGUUUCCUAUUGGCUUGGAGCCCCACAGGGAGUCAUUAAAUGCGAACAUUCUUUAAAAAGUAAAUAAA